CACGUAGGGGCCAAGCGUUGUCCGGAUUUAUUGGGCGUAAAGAGCUCGUAGGCGGCUCGGUAAGUCGGGUGUGAAACCUCCAGGCUCAACCUGGAGACGCCACCCGAUACUGCUGUGGCUAGAGUCCGGUAGGGGAGCGUGGAAUUCCUGGUGUAGCGGUGAAAUGCGCAGAUAUCAGGAGGAACACCGAUGGCGAAGGCAGGUCUCUGGGCAUUAACUGACGCUGAGGAGCGAAAGCAUGGGGAGCGAACAGG
rnacentral:rRNA from 1 species